CGAAAGCCUGACGGAGCAACGCCGCGUGAGGGAUGAAGGCCUCUGGGCUGUAAACCUCUUUUCUCAAGGAAGAAGAUCUGACGGUACUUGAGGAAUAAGCCACGGCUAAUUCCGUGCCAGCAGCCGCGGUAAUACGGGAGUGGCAAGCGUUAUCCGGAAUCAUUGGGCGUAAAGCGUCCGCAGGCGGCCUCGUAAGUCUGUCGUUAAAGCGUGGAGCUUAACUCCAUUUCAGCGAUGGAAACUGUGAGGCUUGAGUGUGGUAGGGGCAGAGGGAAUUCCCGGUGUAGCGGUGAAAUGCGUAGAUAUCGGGAAGAACACCAGUGGCGAAGGCGCUCUGCUGGGCCAUAACUGACGCUCAUGGACGAAAGCCAGGGGAGCG
rnacentral:rRNA from 1 species